GCUUAACGCGAAGAACCUUACCAGGUCUUGACAUCCUCUGACAACUCUAGAGAUAGAGCAUUCCCCUUCGGGGGACAGAGUGACAGGUGGUGCAUGGUUGUCGUCAGCUCGUGUCGUGAGAUGUUGGGUUAAGUCCCGCAACGAGCGCAACCCUUGAUCUUAGUUGCCAGCAUUUAGUUGGGCACUCUAAGGUGACUGCCGGUGACAAACCGGAGGAAGGUGGGGAUGACGUCAAAUCAUCAUGCCCCUUAUGACCUGGGCUACACACGUGCUACAAUGGAUGGUACAAAGGGCUGCAAGACCGCGAGGUCAAGCCAAUCCCAUAAAACCAUUCUCAGUUCGGAUUGUAGGCUGCAACUCGCCUACAUGAAGCUGGAAUCGCUAGUAAUCGCGGAUCAGCAUGCCGCGGUGAAUACGUUCCCGGGUCUUGUACACACCGGGGUCUUGUACACACCGGGGGAGGUCGGUGG
rnacentral:rRNA from 1 species